CGCUGGCGGCACGCCUAACACAUGCAAGUCGAACGGAAUUUAAGUCUUCGGAUUUAAAUUUAGUGGCGCACGGGUGCGUAACGCGUGGGAAUCUGCCCUUGGGUUCGGAAUAACAGUUAGAAAUGACUGCUAAUACCGGAUGAUGUCUUCGGACCAAAGAUUUAUCGCCCAGGGAUGAGCCCGCGUAGGAUUAGGUAGUUGGUGGGGUAAAGGCCUACCAAGCCGACGAUCCUUAGCUGGUCUGAGAGGAUGAUCAGCCACACUGGGACUGAGACACGGCCCAGACUCCUACGGGAGGCAGCAGUGGGGAAUAUUGGACAAUGGGCGCAAGCCUGAUCCAGCAAUGCCGCGUGAGUGAUGAAGGCCUUCGGGUCGUAAAGCUCUUUUACCCGGGAUGAUAAUGACAGUACCGGGAGAAUAAGCUCCGGCUAACUCCGUG
rnacentral:rRNA from 1 species